UACAGAGGUCUCAAGCGUUGUUCGGAUUCAUUGGGCGUAAAGGGCGCGUAGGCUGCGGGGCAAGUCGGGUGUGAAAUCUCAGAGCUCAACUCUGAAACUGCACUCGAUACUGCUUUGCUCGAGGACUGGAGAGGAGAUUGGAAUUCACGGUGUAGCAGUGAAAUGCGUAGAUAUCGUGAGGAAGACCAGUGGCGAAGGCGGAUCUCUGGACAGUUCCUGACGCUGAUGCGCGAAGGCCAGGGGAGCAAACGGG
rnacentral:rRNA from 1 species